CCCCGCAUAGCUCAAUGGUAGAGCGUUCGGCUGUAGACCGAAAGGUUGGCGGUUCGAGUCCGCCUGCGGGGA
rnacentral:tRNA from 1 species